rnacentral:rRNA from 1 species
CCUACGGGGGGCUGCAGUGGGGAAUAUUGGACAUUGGGGGGAACCCUGAUCCAGCCAUGCCGCGUGUGUGAAGAAGGCCCUCGGGUUGUAAAGCACUUUCAGUGAGGAAGAACGCCUGGUGGUUAAUACCCAUCAGGAAAGACAUCACUCACAGAAGAAGCACCGGCUAACUCCGUGCCAGCAGCCGCGGUAAUACGGAGGGUGCGAGCGUUAAUCGGAAUUACUGGGCGUAAAGCGCGCGUAGGUGGCUUGAUAAGCCGGUUGUGAAAGCCCCGGGCUCAACCUGGGAACGGCAUCCGGAACUGUCAAGCUAGAGUGCAGGAGAGGAAGGUAGAAUUCCCGGUGUAGCGGUGAAAUGCGUAGAGAUCGGGAGGAAUACCAGUGGCGAAGGCGGCCUUCUGGACUGACACUGACACUGAGGUGCGAAAGCGUGGGUAGCAAACAGGAUUAGAUACCCGAGUAGUC